rnacentral:rRNA from 1 species
GAUGAACGCUGGCGGCGUGCCUAAUACAUGCAAGUCGAGCGAACAGACGAGGAGCUUGCUCCUCUGAUGUUAGCGGCGGACGGGUGAGUAACACGUGGAUAACCUACCUAUAAGACUGGGAUAACUUCGGGAAACCGGAGCUAAUACCGGAUAACAUGUUGAACCGCAUGGUUCAACAGUGAAAGACGGUCUUGCUGUCACUUAUAGAUGGAUCCGCGCCGCAUUAGCUAGUUGGUAAGGUAACGGCUUACCAAGGCAACGAUGCGUAGCCGACCUGAGAGGGGGAUCGGCCACAGUGGAACUGAGACACGGUCCAAACCCCUACGGGGGGCAGCGGUGGGGAAUCUUCCGAAAUGGGGGAAAGCCUGACGGAGAAACGCCGGGGGAGUGAAGAAGGUCUGCGGAUCGAAAAACUCUGUUAUUAGGGAAGAAAAAAUGUGUAAGUAACUAUGCACGUUUUGACGGUACCAAAUCAAAAAGCCCCGGCUAACUACGU